ACGAGUUCCCAUAUGAUCACCAAAGUUAAGCAACAUCGAACCAGGUCAGUACCUAGAUGGGUGACUGCUUGGGAAUACCAGGUGCUGUG